AUGACGAUUAACAAGGCUCAAGGGCAGACCAUCCCAAUUGUUGGUGUGUAUCUACCUAAUCCGGUGUUCUCUCAUGGUCAACUCUAUGUUGCUUUGUCUCGAGCCACCGCGAAGAGAAACAUAAAAAUACUCAUUCAGAAGGAGAAGCCAAAGGAGAAGUCCAACAAGCAACAUAACAAUCCAAAGAAGCGUAAAAGACCGGCCGUGUGCAAUUUACUCUUCCGAUGGUCAAGAAUUGCUGUAAUCUGUUCUAUGACAUAUCUUUUCAUUUGGUAUCUUGGUUGUUGGAGCUAUACACCAAUCAGUUCAAGUAAUAACUGCAUUUCAAUAAAUUUAUACUGUCUUAUGUGUAAUCUGACAAUGUACAUGUCACACAGCGUACUGUGUUAUGUGUAA
rnacentral:rRNA from 1 species